rnacentral:rRNA from 1 species
UGACCUCAAAUGCAGGUAGGACUACCCGCUGAACUUAAGCAUAUCAAUAAGCGGAGGA